AAGCUGAAUUACUUCAAAUUAUGCACAUACACACACACACACUCUUCGAACCAUAUGGAGGAGGAGCAAGUCUCGAAGGAUCCUGAAGGACUUCGCUAGCAGUUCCAACUAACAACACACUAUCGUUUGGACCACCAAAAAGAAGCUGAAGCUUAAUCUUGUGCCCCACAUUACAAGCAAAAGGUUGCAACAAUUCAGUAAGAACAUGCUGCAAUGCAAGUGCACAGGUUUCCGACUUUGCACCAUUGCACUAUCCCUUUCAGUGAUCUCAAUACACUCUUCAAAACAUGCCUCAAAUCAACCCCGAAGGACUCUCUCAUACACAUAC
rnacentral:lncRNA from 1 species